ACGCUGGCGGCAGGCCUAACACAUGCAAGUCGAGCGGCAGCACGGGUACUUGUACCUGGUGGCGAGCGGCGGACGGGUGAGUAAUGCCUAGGAAUCUGCCUGGUAGUGGGGGAUAACGCUCGGAAACGGACGCUAAUACCGCAUACGUCCUACGGGAGAAAGCAGGGGACCUUCGGGCCUUGCGCUAUCAGAUGAGCCUAGGUCGGAUUAGCUAGUUGGUGAGGUAAUGGCUCACCAAGGCGACGAUCCGUAACUGGUCUGAGAGGAUGAUCAGUCACACUGGAACUGAGACACGGUCCAGACUCCUACGGGAGGCAGCAGUGGGGAAUAUUGGACAAUGGGCGAAAGCCUGAUCCAGCCAUGCCGCGUGUGUGAAGAAGGUCUUCGGAUUGUAAAGCACUUUAAGUUGGGAGGAAGGGCAGUUACCUAAUACGUAUCUGUUUUGACGUUACCGACAGAAUAAGCACCGGCUAACUCUGUGCCAGCAGCCGCGGUAAUACAGAGGGUGCAAGCGUUAAUCGGAAUUACUGGGCGUAAAGCGCGCGUAGGUGGUUUGUUAAGUUGGAUGUGAAAUCCCCGGGCUCAACCUGGGAACUGCAUUCAAAACUGACAAACUAGAGUAUGGUAGAGGGUGGUGGAAUUUCCUGUGUAGCGGUGAAAUGCGUAGAUAUAGGAAGGAACACCAGUGGCGAAGGCGACCACCUGGACUGAUACUGACACUGAGGUGCGAAAGCGUGGGGAGCAAAC
rnacentral:rRNA from 1 species